rnacentral:rRNA from 1 species
UACGUAGGGUGCGAGCGUUAAUCGGAAUUACUGGGCGUAAAGCGUGCGUAGGCGGUUGGCAAAGUCAGCUGUGAAAGCCCCGGGCUUAACCUGGGAAUGGCGGUUGAAACUAGUCGACUAGAAUCUGGCAGAGGGGGGUGGGAAUUCCACUGGUGGUAGCAGGUGGAAAUGCGUAGAGAAUGGUGGAGGAACACCGAUGGCGGAAGGGACAGCCCCCUGG